UAGGACAAGGCUUAUUUGGGAUAACUUUUCAGUAGAAGAUUUAAGACUAGGAGGAAGAAAAAUGGUAUCGUCUUCCAUAAUAAAAUCUAGCAAUGAAUGGUCACAAAAUUAGCCGCUGAUAACAUUAUUUUGGACCUGCUGCUUUAUAAUACUCCUACUAUCUCUAUUUUAAAAAGAAUGGCUUAUUUUUCUUUCUUAUUCGUUUUAAAAAAAUUAUCUCUUUUUCUUUUUAAUAAUAUUUUAAUUUUAACUUUUCACAUUGACCACAAAUUUAAAAGAUAUUUUGAUAUAUUUGAUACUACUUUAAUUAAGACAUCCAGAUUCAAAAAUUUUAUUUAUUUUCUGUAUUAUUUUUUCUAAAUAGUAAAAUGAAUGGAGCGCGCUCUUGUUCAUCCUCCCCCUUUUUCUAUAUGCUAUAUUCCUUUUUUUUUUCCGCCGAGACGCCGACCACUGUUUGCGAAUUAGCUAGUGUGAGCUUGUGUUUGGAAGAAUCAAAACUUUGUUCAGAGCCACCACACAUAACACCAAGGUGGUUGUGAAUUUGGAGACGUAGCCUAUUUGAAACCUUCGUUGCAAUCGAGGUCUGAAGCAACAACGGAUGGGAUGUCUUCUUUGUCCUAAUUUUAUUCAUGUGAGCUUUAGAUUCAGAUUUAGAAGUUUCAUUUUCGUCAACUUCUCCUCCAUCUCCACCACCAUCUAUGUCGGCAUUGAAUCUAGGUUUUUGCGGUGAUUGAGAUUGUUGUCAAAUGACAUAAAUGUCCUCAGAAGGGCUGUGUGGUGGACGAAAUAUGAAAAAUGACAAAAUUGCCCUUGGCCUAAGCUGACGGGACAAUCGUCUUUUGUCUGCUUUAAGCCACUUAUAUAUAUUAGUAUUAUAACCGAUUAACCUUUCAUUGUCCACUAUAAUUGCAAUUUAUCAACUAUAAAAUGUACAUCUAUGGAUGUUUUAUGGCAUCAAA